UCGUUUUAAGCCCCCAACAGACAAGUUCAUCUCACGAGUCAGCUCUGAAGCCAUUGCAAUCCAUACCUUCAGAAAGUUCAAAUAAGUCAACUCUCACGUGUGAUCCAUGAAAUUAAUGCAGGAUACGAUCAUGACUGGGGCUGGGCCACUUCUCUCGGUCAUGACCGUCCUUAUUACGGUAGGAAAUUUUCCCACCAUCGGCACCGCACCAGGUGAUAUCCCUGUCAACGAAGAAGACGUCUAUCCUUUUUCGAUAUUGCCCAACAUGACUGAACUUGGCCUAGAGAUCAUCGAGGGUGAUAUUGCUGUACCCAGAAGCCUUUUGCGUAAAGGUAAUCGUCCUACUUUUCUGCCAGUAGGUCAGCGUUGGCCUGGCAACGUGGUGCCAUACAAGUACCACACAUCUGUAAAUAAUAGUCACAAAUCAGUAAUCGUAUCAGGAAUCCAGCACUGGCAGAACAAUACGUGCCUUCGCUUUGAAGAGGUCGAAAGCAUCGGGCGUCACCAUAUCCGUUUCCGAACAGAUAAAGAUGGUUGCUGGUCUCUGAUUGGUCGUACGAUGGGCAUUGCAUCAAUUCAAAGUGCAAUUCUGGGAGGGCUAGUUCAGGACCUCGUUCAGGGGGAAGUCUUUUACCAGGAUAUUAACUUACAGCGUCCCGGAUGUGUAAAGGAAGGUACUGUAAUACACGAAAUUGGCCACGCCAUAGGAUUUUAUCACGAACAGUCACGCAGCGAUCGAGAUGAGCACAUUAAAAUUCUUUUUGAGAACAUGAAUCCCGAAAUGAGCGCGCAGUUCGAAAAAGCAGACGAUCAGACUUUUGGCGUGCCGUACGAUCUUGGUUCGGUAAUGCAAUAUCCACAGUGGGCCUUCAGCAAGGACAUUUAUGAAUUGAACACCAUCGUAACGCGGGAUCCAUUCAUGCAGGGUAGCCUUGGCGGAGAUGUUUUGACCUUCCGUGAUAUGAAGCUGGCAAAUUCGAUGUACAAAUGCAAUGAAGGAUGCACAAAUAAGAAUAGUAUUCAGUGCCAAAAUGGCGGUUUUAUAUUCGCGCGUCAUGGAGAGCUUACGGAAUGCAACUGUAUUUGUCCGCCGAAUACAGCGGGUGAUUUAUGCGAAACUAUCAUACGCCCUUCCUAUUAUGAGCCCGUGAAGUGCGGCGGAAACGUGACACAACCAACGAAUAUCGAAAGUAAAGCCGUAGAUGCACCAUGCAUAUUCUGGGUUCAGGCACCCGAGGGUCAACGGGCCCGAGUCACUUUUACCGAAUUCAACUUCCCGGCCCGAAGCGAUAAGGGUAAGAUGAAGAAUAGGUGUCGAAACGGGCGUCUUGAACUGCGUACCCAGGACCACUUCAAGGGACAGAUGUUCUGUGGGGAUGAGCUUGCGGGAAAAGGAUUUACAUCAGCGGGCAGGAACCUCAUAAUCAUCACUAGCAAGCUGGCGUCAAAAUCCUCGUCGGCUUUCAAGGCAAACGUAUCGUUCGAAUAGAGUUACACUGAACAGGCAGAUCGACAGUAGGGUGACGCAACCGCUGAUUUUGUGACGUAGUCGAAGGCCGUGUGGAAACUGGGGGCAUCCGCCACCGACGCGCUACUGGUUACUACCUUGCGAACACUCAUUACGAUGUCUCUUCUCAAUUCUAUUGAGCACGACAACAUCCUGUUGUCGAUUCUCGUCUCCCACUAUUCAGUUUUCCGUCCAUUUUAAUUCCUAGACUCCCAAGCUCUCCCUGCUCGCCAGCAGCGCAGUUUGUCUAUCCCAACUUUGUAGGUAUGAGACCAGUCAGAAAGUGCACAAAGGGAACUUCGUUGUUUCUAAAACGCUGCUUUCUCUAAUUUUUCCUACUACGUGCACUAUGUAUGAUUGCCUACUGUUUGAAAAACUCCAGAAGUGAACAGAUUUGGAAGACAUCUAAGCGGCCCUUCGACGACAGCAAGGAUACGGUAAAUCAUUGGCAAUCCUCAGCUAGUGGCAACUGUUCGCCGAAAUCAGGGUAAUGAAUGAAAUAAGAAUCUACUCGUACUUAGCAGGAUCGUUAUACGUUUAUGUAUGCGCAUGUACUAUUACGAAAUUUAAACGAAAAUAGAAUAAAAUGUAGCGGCAAAAAUAGCAACAAAAGACCACCGCAAAUUUCAACAUAUGAUGGGUAGCUGCUGGUACACAGCCUCUCGCAGUGCGGAUAAUUCUAUCCACUCAUCCACCAGUAUAUAUACAUAUAUAUCUGUCUUUUGUUCUACGUUAGCUUAUAUCGGUGUUCUUCACCAUAGUGACCUUAUUAUUUGACUAUAGUUCCUUUUAGAGGAAGCUGGAGUUUUGGUGUUGGAAGCAUGCAACGCCUAUAACGUGAUGCAAAGCAGUGAAAUUAUAAGGGCUUAUUUGUCAUGUUGCUUGAAACGAACGUGUGGGCGCUGCCAAUGGAGGUUGUUGUUUUCAGGGGUAAGGCAUAUGUUUCAAGUUAAAGGGGAUCAAAUAGCGAAGAGGCACCUUCUCUUUAUCUUGAAGUAAGGAGGUCGAUGAUGAGGCGACCGUAACCACGGAUCCGUAUUUAGGAAGCCAAGUAACACAUAUUAGCUGGGCCGGAACUGUUUGGCAAGUCGAAACGUUCUGAAUAGUCAUUAAGUCACCUACCAUUGGCUGAGCAAAACAUGCCAGAUACUUAAGUUCUUAGCUCUUUACAGUUAUAAGCAGACUAUCUGCCAUCAGAAAACGAUAUGCCUAAGGGCAUAGAUAGCGUUAAGUAGCAGCUAAAAUCGCUUUUUCGCAGAUAAAAUUUGGCGGAAAUAUGGAGCAAAGAAACUGCGCUAUGUUACUAACGCUAUAAUUAGUCUAAGAACAAAAUUAAGAAAAAUGGGGAAUUACAGAGAAGAUAAUAAAUUUCAACACCUCUAACGGAAGGAUGAGUUUUUCGGAGAUCACGGAAGACUUCUUCGCGAGGCUGCCUCGAUUCAGAAAACUCCUUGUCGGCUUCGUAUAGAAUCUCUCGAAACAGAUGUUAUGGUACUAUGAUGAAAGUAUCGACUUUGAAGAACGAACGCAAUCAUUUUUGUUUCUCUUGACCUAACGUCUGCUAUACUCUAGAGACAAUUUUUGUACUUAUUGCCUGCAAACAUUUCGCCUGAAGUCUAACAAUUCGUCUAUAAACAAGACGUGCAUCACUCUGGAUCUCUCGGAAGAGAAGAGUCAGAGGAGGAAAUGGCAUCGAAGAGGAAGGGGAUGCCUUCAGAAACGCUGUCGGAUAAACUCACGUGUAACCUGGUGAUGCCGCAAUCAACAGUGCACUGUGUGCUUACUCCAGGACAAUCAGCGACCUAACCGCCACGUCUCACUAACGGUCUGGAUCGAGAAAUGCUUUCAGCCUUCCUGCUGUUAAGGAACGCAUCACUGUCCACAUUAGACCUUCAGGGUGGACUGGGUUAAGUACUAUGCCGGGACGACACAGGAUCGACUUCUACUUUAGAACUGACAAUGACGCAAGAAUUGGCAGCGAUGUCAUCCGUCUAUCAUGAAUCGAUCUCCAAGCCCCCGCCCUGUUUAUUAGAUCGAACGUGGACCGUCGUGUUCAGGAACUACUCGGUGUGUGUCAAUGGUGCACCGUUCUGCAAAAGGGACAGGACGAAAUCUACAAUGUGCGAUGUCAUGCUCGGGCACGAACGGCACGUUACGAAUAUUCAUUUCGCCCUCUCAGAGGUUCCGCUUGCCUUGCUGUUAUCCCUACGUUAUUGGGAAGAAGAAGAAGAAGACAACGAUCACACCUCCAGUUGUCAAAAACCACUCUACCAAAGCGACAGGCGGACCUAGCGGACAGAUAGCCCGUGGGCCCCACGGAUACGAGUGAUAGACGAAGGGGACGAGGGCUUGCUCCACUUUGCGGUGCAUCGCUUGGGUCGGGAACGACCAUUAGGAACUUCGAAUCGAUUCCCAAGCAUUUACAGCCUUUCCUUUUUCGAACUACCUGAAACUUUUCGCUCCCACUAGGAAGUGAACCAAUAAAAGGAUGAAUAAAGAGUUAGACUCCCAGUCCUAAAUCUGAGCUGCGUCAGGAUCAUAUGUUUGAUUGCAACUAUUCUUGACUGGCAUCGCUCAAGGCAGCAAAAUAUCAAUACGAUAUGUAAUAGAGAUGGCUACUUUGAAGCCCAAGAGAUUUGCACGGAUUUGAACCUGAAACAACCAAUAGCUUGAGAAGGAACUCUGUUCACCGCCAUCUGCUGGCUUCGGCUUAGAUCGAAAGUAAACCUCUGCUAACCACCCAACCUCUCUGUCGCCCGUUAAGUUCAUGCCUGUUACCACUGAACGUAACGUUGCUAAUGUGCGGAAACGAGGUAAAGGCUCCGCUCCUAGUUUGAAUCGAGAUCAGAAGCACUGUUUGUGGCCAGCCAGCAUCCCGCCUGGAUGUUGUUUGUAACAUCAACUGGACCAAAUAUCGCUACGCUGUCGCUCAUUCUUGUCGGCUUUCUCAUCAGAACGAACACAUAACUACUAACGCGCACAAGUCGAGACUUCCGUUGGACACAGGGAUCAGCCUGUCAAUUGGCUUUCAUCACUCCUAUAAUCGUUAAUGAUGAGUAGCAUAGUAAAGAAGAACCCGCUAGUACAAGGGUAUAAAAACUAAAUAUCCCCAUGGUUUUCUCAUGGCGUAACGACGCCGAAAGAUGCCAGCACCAAUCAAGAUUCUCCAAAGUGUACCCUUCAUAUUUAAGCUAAACCCACUACGAGAAGCUUUUUAGAUCUAGGGUAGUUUUAGGUUCGGCUCUAUUCAUAUAAA